CGGGGGUAAACGGACAGAGCCCGUGAAUCUGGGCGGCGGAAUUCAGGACGGUCGGGCGGGCCUCGCGCUCGUCGGGCCGUUUGAUAUUUCCGUCGCCGUGUCAGACGUCGCGACCUGUUCGUCGCCGGUCCUUGCUCGGAGGAAGCGCGAUCGAGUUCGUUGCGGGCGCGUUUCGGCGCGUUCCGCGGCGAAGACGCGACUCUCUGGCUGGCGACGGACAGUAAGCAACGGUGUCCGGCGUCGUGUCUCGCACUCGACGUCGGUGCCGGUCGGCGACGAUUUCUUCGGGCCUCUUUCCGACCCGUCUUGAAACACGGACCAAGGAGUCUAACAUGCGCGCGAGUCGCGGGGUUUCGAGCGUGCCACGGUGCGCUCGUUACUUCCGAAACCCGUACGUUGAAGGCGUAAUGAAAGUGAAUAGGGAAGAUGGCGUUCCGAGUCCACGUACCGUGAUCGAGUAUCGCGGCCGGACGUCCGCACUCCCGGGGCGUCUCAAUGGCUCGCCACGGAUGCGGACGGUCGUC
rnacentral:rRNA from 1 species